CAACUCUCAACAACGGAUAUCUUGGCUCUCGCAACGAUGAAGAACGCAGCGAUAUGCGAUACGUAGUGUGAAUUGCAGAAUUCCGUGAAUCAUCAAAUCUUUGAACGCAUAUUGCGCUCGAGGCUUCGGCCAAGAGCAUGUCUGCCUCAGCGUCGGGUU
rnacentral:rRNA from 1 species